rnacentral:ncRNA from 1 species
AAACUUGAGAGUUUGAUCCUGGCUCAGAACGAACGCUGGCGGCAGGCUUAACACAUGCAAGUCGAACGCCCCGCAAGGGGAGUGGCAGACGGGUGAGUAACGCGUGGGAAUCUACCCAGUUCU